rnacentral:rRNA from 1 species
UACGGGGGGGGUAAGCGUUGUUCGGAAUUACUGGGCGUAAAGGGCUCGUAGGCGGCGCAACAAGUCACUUGUGAAAUCUCCGGGCUUAACCCGGAGCGGCCAAGUGAUACUGUCGUGCUAGAGUGCGGAAGGGGCUACUGGAAUUCUCGGUGUAGCGGUGAAAUGCGUAGAUAUCGAGAGGAACACCUGCGGCGAAGGCGGGUAGCUGGGCCGACACUGACGCUGAGGCGCGAAAGCCAGGGGAGCGAACGGG